rnacentral:rRNA from 1 species
AUUGAACGCUGGCGGCAGGCCUAACACAUGCAAGUCGAACGAGUGGCGGACGGGUGAGUAAUGUCUGGGAAACUGCCUGAUGGAGGGGGCUAACUACUGGAAACGGUAGCUAAUACCGCAUACCAUCAGCUGUGCCCAGAUUGGAUUAGCUAGUGGGUGGGGUAACGGCUCACCAAGGCGACGAUCCCUAGCUGGUCUGAGAGGAUGACCAGGCACACUGGGACUGAGAAACGGGCCAGAACCCUACGGGAGGGAGGAGGGGGGAAUAUUGCACAAUGGGCGGAAGCCUGAUUGAGCCAGGCCGGGGGGAAGAAGAAGGCCCUCGGGUUGUAAAGUAAUUUCAGCGGGGAGGCGUUACCCGCAGAAGAAGCACCGGCUAACUCCGUGCCAGCAGCCGCGGUAAUUC